GAGGGCGACCAUAUCAGCACUAGUGCAUGGGUUUCCAUCAGAACUCCGCAGUUAAGCGUGCUUGGGCGAUUAUAGUUCUAAGAUGGUCUUGUCUUAUGACUUUCAUAGACACAAGCUUGUUGCAUAAC
rnacentral:rRNA from 1 species